CAAUCGCAGUAGACGCCGCCGUGGAAUUUCAGGACGGAAAAUUAACGAGGGGAUAACGUCGACGACAGGCGAGGAUGCUGCGAAAAUGGCGAGAGCGCAGUUUCACCGAGAACAAUUUUACGGGAACGCGUGGGACGGCGGUAAGGGGUACCUCUCGCCGGGAUAGGAAGAAGCGAGAACGCAGAGAACGAGGUUGCGGAGGAUGGAAGCAAUGCAUCAUGGGAGAGGGAGUUACCUACGUGUCCGGGUUUUCGUGGAAUCGAGUUUGCUCCCGUGUCAACGUAAUAAUACAUUUUCGCGGCAGUACCCAUGCCUGCGGGUAAAAUGGUGGAAAGAGAACAAGUGGACUACUUGUAGCAGUCAAAGCCGGACUCUAGAUUUAUCGCUCGGACGUUGGACAUGCUAUUUCGGCGUUAUUUAUGGCGGCGUCACCGUAACGCUGGGAACUUGGCGUUGCAUUCGGUAUACCUACAUGGAACGUACGCGUAUGCAGUUGUACGAGGAGAGAGUCCAGGACGUUUCUUCGUCUAAUUGGCACCUGUGGACCCAGCUUAAUUCCAGCUAUCAUCCACGCGCUUAAUGAAAUACGUUCUCGUGCACUGAAACUUUACACCCCUUUCCUGCCAAUUAGCAUCCCCACUGCGUUUUCCAAGGAAAAGCGGGUCGUUCGCGCUAUCACUACAAUUGUAGGUAGAUCUGUUUCUUUCUUUUAUUACUCGAGCACCUCUACCGUUGAAUAUUUAUAUAGUAACAAUCGUAGUUGAGAUUCGUGCUUUUACUUAUUCGCCUUGGAAUUUACUGUUGAAAGUGUUUGCGUUGAACGUAAUAACACCAAGGCUUUUUGUAUACAGUCUUCUGAAUAUAGUAUAUUUAGGAAAAUGAAUUCUGCCGAAGUAGCCUCGAGGAGAUUAUAAGCUGUUUUGGGUAAACCCAUCAUUCUCUUUGUGUACCGGACGUUAUCUGGUGUCGAACGAAAUACGAAUUACAAAUACGUAAGAGACGGAGACGGUUUAACACCCUUGAAGACUCGAUGUAUUAUUCAAAACAUUCACUGAGACGCGACAGAAGCAUUUAUGGCGUAGAUCCUUGCAAUUAAUUUAACCAGGUGCUCGGGAACAUUCGUACCGCUCGAUACAUCCCCCCUUAUCUGGAUUCGAUUAAAUACGGCAUUAAAGAAGCAAUUAUUUUGUAUCGCAGCGCAUUUUAAUGGGUACUUGGCGAAAUCGUUACGAGAGAGCGAAGUCGGUUAAAGGGACUUUUGAGAAAGGACUAACAACGCAUAAGGGAUUUCGUCAAGUUAUUUUAGAUGCGGAUUAAUUAUUCGAAGAACGAUGUACGCGGGGUAAGGUCUUUUGUAUACCGAGAAUAGUUACGUGUAUUUUUGUCAAACUUCUAUAUCGUUGAUAAAUGGCAGCUUGUAAUGAAAGCUUCUUAGGAUCGACGAAUAAAAACUUAUUUUGCAAGAAAUACUCA